rnacentral:rRNA from 1 species
GAUCCUGGCUCAGGAUGAACGCUAGCGACAGGCCUAACACAUGCAAGUCGAGGGGCAGCGAAGAGGUAGCAAUACCUCUGCCGGCGACCGGCGCACGGGUGAGUAACACGUAUGCAAUCCACCUGUAACAGGAAGAUAACCCGGAGAAAUCCGGACUAAUACCCCAUAAUAUGGGCGCUCCGCAUGGAGAGCCCCAUUAAAGAGAGCAAUUUUGGUUACAGACGAGCAUGCG